rnacentral:rRNA from 2 species
UACGAAGGGUGCAAGCGUUGCUCGGAAUUAUUGGGCGUAAAGGGUUGGUAGGUGGUCUUGUUUGUCUAAGGUGAAAUCCCAUGGCUUAACUGUGGAAGUGCCUUAGAAACGGCAAGACUAGAGUCCUAGAGGGGUUUGUGGAAUUCCCGGUGUAGCGGUGAAAUGCGUAGAGAUCGGGAGGAACACCAGCGGCGAAGGCGGCAAACUGGAUAGGCACUGACACUCAACAACGAAAGCGUGGGGAGCAAACAGG